CAUUUAAUUUAUUUUUCUGUUUGACUUGGCGCAGCAGCAGGUGCCUGACUCCAUGGACAACCAGGACCUGAGUUGAUGAGGAUGACAUCGUCGAUUCCGAUCCAGACCGCCACACAUGGAGAAGGCACCAGGUGAAACAACCACAAGCAGGGGAUGGAAGGUCGCAGAUGGAGAAGAAACCCCAAGCAAAUUGGGAGGCCCUGAUGCCAAGUAACAAAAGGUGCCAGUCCUGCACCCUUGGCCGUCCCUGACGAGCCCACUAUUACUAAUGGUGGAUGGCGUGCCUCUCAAUGGACGGUUGCUUCUCAUGGGGUGGAUUCGUCUCCUCCCCCCUCCUAGCGGCUG